AUGUAGACUUGUACUUCUCAGUAUACUUACGCGUACAGACCUUCUUUUUACAGUCAUUGGUACAGACAGGCAGGCAUCAUAUUUCAGAAUGAGUUGCAUUUUAUGAGUCCCAGCUGUGAUCUUCUCACAAUGUUGUAGAUGUCUGUGCUUUAAACAGAAUAGGUUUAAGGAAACCCACCGAAUCUACAAGAGCAAUGUCAUGCUCGUAAUAGAGAUUCUUUGAGUCAGUAAUGGGAGGCUGAUGAUUCCCUUUUACAGUGCAUCAGUCACAGGGGGGCUGUGUCUCCUUUGAGAGGGAAUGGCUGGAAGGACCUGGACAGUCCUCAGAGGGUCUCCAUUCAACAUGGGCAAGAAAGAGCAGAGGGACUGGCUUUGGGGUAUCCCAGACCUUUGUGACUUUGAGGUGACAGGUGGGGGGAGUCCCCCUGAACCCCGACCCAAGGUGUUGAGGGGCAAGGACUUGGACUUCUUCACUCCUUUGGAGACUUGGUCGGGUGGCAAAGAAACUGCAAUGGGAAAUUCAAAUAAUACAUUUGGGUAAUCUGCUGAUGAAAGUAUCAAAAAACAAGUAUCCACACAACAGUACUUUUCUUUCAGUACAAAAGCCUUCACAUAAACACCCAGUGGACAGGAAAAAUGCCAUUAGUGGUGGUGAGAAAAAGGUAUACUUACACCGGUGGGUACAGUGAUCACGAAUGGGAGCUAAACUGUUGCGUGUAAGAGCAGUAUCCCUCAUCUUCAACCUGUCCAGUGGUAGCAGGUGUGUCUUUGGAGCUGUGAAAAAACAUGUAAUUUAGAUCUG